rnacentral:tRNA from 1 species
ACCGACGAAAACGAACUGGAGAGUGGAAUACUGACUUGUAAUCAGUAGGUCCCGGGUUCGACUCCUGGUGCCGGCACCA